rnacentral:tRNA from 1 species
GGUAGCAUGCCAGAGUGGUUAAUGGGUAGGACUUGAAUUAUUUUACAAUGAUAUCCUAUGGCUUCGGCCGCGUAGGUUCGAACCCUACUGCUAUCG